GGGAACGUGCCCUUCGGUUCGGAAUAACUCAGGGAAACUUGAGCUAAUACCGGAUACGCCCUUUUGGGGAAAGGCUUGACUGCCGAAGGAUCGGCCCGCGUCUGAUUAGCUAGUUGGUGAGGUUANGGCUCACCAAGGCGACNAUCAGUAGCUGGUCUGAGAGGAUGAUCAGCCACACUGGGACUGAGACACGGCCCANACUCCUACGGGAGGCAGCAGUGGGGAAUAUUGGACAAUGGGGGCAACCCUGAUCCAGCCAUGCCGCGUGAGUGAUGACGGCCUUAGGGUUGUAAAGCUCUUUUCUCCGGGACGAUAAUGACGGUACCGGAGGAAUAAGCCCCGGCUAACUUCGUGCCAGCAGCCGCGGUAAUACGAAGGGGGCUAGCGUUGCUCGGAAUCACUGGGCGUAAAGGGCGCGUAGGCGGCUGAUUUAGUCGAGGGUGAAAGCCCGUGGCUCAACCACGGAAUGGCCUUCAAUACUGGUUGGCUUGAGACCGGAAGAGGACAGCGGAACUGCGAGU
rnacentral:rRNA from 1 species